rnacentral:rRNA from 1 species
GGAGCUAAUACCGGAUAAUAUAUUGAACCGCAUGGUUCAAUAGUGAAAGACGGUUUUGCUGUCACUUAUAGAUGGAUCCGCGCCGCAUUAGCUAGUUGGUAAGGUAACGGCUUACCAAGGCGACGAUGCGUAGCCGACCUGAGAGGGUGAUCGGCCACACUGGAACUGAGACACGGUCCAG